CACCGCGGUUAUACGAAAGACCCUAGUUGAUAGCCACGGCGUAAAGGGUGGUUAAGGGAAAUAAUAAAUAAAGCUAAAGACCCUCUAAGUCGUCAUACACAUUUCGAAGGUACGAAACCCAAACACGAAAGUAGCUUUAAACACACCAACCUGAUCCCACGAAAGCUAAGAAA
rnacentral:rRNA from 1 species